CCCCGCCCCAAAAACCAAAUCCGCAGCUUCUCCGCUAAAUUGAAAAAUUGGGCGGCGAUUUUCAAUUUUCACAAUCCGCUCUUCAGAUAGGUGAACACUCUGGAAUCUGAACACUCACAACGUCCCUGAGGAUAUCGAAGCUGAGAUUCAACCCAUAGCACGCAAAAUGUCUAUCGUCAAUCGCGCAGCCGUUAGAUCUGGGAUUGGUUCCGGUAGUGACGGGGAAACUGACCAGCCGAUGGCGAAGUUCAAGAGGGGCGAUCGUUCAUGAAGAAUCUGGACAUUACGCGAGGAAAAGAUACUCGCAACAACCUUGGUUGAACUUGUUGCCCGGAGUUGGAAAUCGGACAAUGGAUUUUGGCCUGGUUCUCUCCAGAAAAUCGAAGACAGUAUUCGGGCUGAAUUCCCCAACUCGGAUCUCAAGGGUACCCCGCAUGUUACUUCAAAAAUUCCUGCUUGGAAAAAGAGCUACAACAGCCUGCGAGGGAUCAUAGCACGAACUGGGGUGGGCUUCACUCCACAUGGGGAUUUCAAAAUUGACUGUUCUGACGAACAGUGGGAGCAGAUUGUGAAUAUUUUAUUCCUUAACUCGUUGCUACUGAGCACUUGAAUACGAUUUAUGUUUAACUUUUCACUUGCGGACAGUUUAAUGUAUAAUCCCUCUGUGUGUGUAGGCUGACAAGCAUGCCAAGUUAAUGCUGGCGAAGUCUUGGCCCUUUUGGGAGACAAGGAAGAUUAUUUUUGGCAGGGACAGAGCAACCGGAUCAAUGGCUGAAGACAUUGCGGAUGCUGCUACGCGAUCGCGUCCCCAAGAAACCUUGGGAAUGUACAUGCUGAACAAGGCUACCCGAAAAUCUUCGGAGUCCAAGGAGCCGGAGA